rnacentral:lncRNA from 1 species
CCAUUUCAAUGGAUAUUGGUAGGAGUUCAUCCAAGAUUGUCAUGGAGUUGGGAAUGUUCACCACCUUCUCAUACCUAGUGAUCUUGGUAAUGAAAUUGCGAGGGUUUGAUAGAUCAGAUGAGAUGGGCAUCCUUACUCGCAGUGUACAGACAUUCUCGUAGUUCUUAAGUAAAUCCUCCACCUGCCAAAAUAACAGUAAAAGGGAAGUUCCAUCAGGACCACCCAAAGAUCACAAGUUCAUAAUUACACAUAUCCAAAGACCAAAAAACAAACAGAAGCAUCACAUUGAUCCAAUUUACUAAAAGCAUCCAUUUUAAAUUUUGUAAAUCAAGACAUUUACAAACAGAAUUUCUUUCCAUUUUCAUAAGAUUAGUAGAAAAGAUCCAGAUUACAACAAAUUAUCCACGAAAUACAUCAACCAUGUACUUAAAUUUACUAACUUCAGGUGAUUCAUUCCAUGGUAACCUCAAUCUAGUCAUCUAAAUUUUUGAGAUCGCAACAAGUGACUCAUCUUAACGCAUGCCAUCUAUGUUCUAUUCACUAUCAAGGUCGAAACUUUCGAUAAUCCAAUAAAUUUCUUUAAUUGUAGCUGAAUGUUAGCAAACUGAGCCUAAACUGAUUUCAAAUUUCCACAUUAAUGCAUCAUUAGUUCAAUAAACAAAUCUAACAGUUGAACUGCAACUUUCCACACAUCAAGAUCAAUAAAUAAAUGAAAAUCCAAAUUCAAGAUCUAGAAUUAUAACAUACAGAUCUGAAACAUGUUUACCAUAAAUACAUAAAACACAAUAACGAUAAAUCCGAACAUUACCCACCAUUGCUUUCGUCUUGGAGUAAAAGGAUCCGAUGAAAUUCGGAGUGUCCUCCUCCUUGAACCCGAUACCCGACCCGAGCGGAUGCGAAUCAUCAUACUCAAAAAUACAUCCAGUGGCAUAGUUUAUCAAAACUAAUCCCUUCUCCCUGCAUACAUCAGCAAGCGUCAACGUGCCGACAACAUUUGUCCUAAUGGUCUCCACCUUGUGGGAUUCACACCAGUCGACAUUAGGCCGGCCAGUAACACCGGCGGCGUUGAAUACAUGGGUCGGUUGCACCGAGGCGAUGUCGGACUCAAGGGAGGGCCGGUUCUCCAACCGACCCGACCCGUAAACGUAUUCGAUCUUCUGAGCUUCACAAAGCUUACC